rnacentral:rRNA from 1 species
GACGAACGCUGGCGGCGUGCUUAACACAUGCCAGUCGAACGAUGAACCCGAGCUUGCUCUGGGGGAUUAGUGGCGAACGGGUGAGUAACACGUGAGUAACCUGCCCUGGACUCUGGGAUAAGCGUUGGAAACGACGUCUAAUACCGGAUAGGACCUUGGAUCGCAUGAUCUGGGGUGGAAAGUUUUUUCGGUCUGGGAUGGACUCGCGGCCUAUCAGCUUGUUGGUGAGGUAAUGGCUCACCAAGGCGUCGACGGGUAGCCGGCCUGAGAGGGUGACCGGCCACACUGGGACUGAGACACGGCCCAGACUCCUACGGGAGGCAGCAGUGGGGAAUAUUGCACAAUGGGCGAAAGCCUGAUGCAGCAACGCCGCGUGCGGGAUGACGGCCUUCGGGUUGUAAACCGCUUUUAGUAGGGAAGAAGGGCUUCGGCUUGACGGUACCUGCAGAAAAAGGACCGGCUAACUACGUG